rnacentral:rRNA from 1 species
CACGUAGGGCGCAAGCGUUGUCCGGAAUUAGUGGGCGUAAAGAGCUCGUAGGUGGUUUGUUACGUCCGCUGUGAAAACCUAGGGCUUAACCCUGGGCUUGCAGUGGAUACGGGCAGACUAGAGGUAGGUAGGGGAGAAUGGAAUUCCUGGUGUAGCGGUGAAAUGCGCAGAUAUCAGGAGGAACACCGGUGGCGAAGGCGGUUCUCUGGGCCUUACCUGACACUGAGGAGCGAAAGCGUGGGGAGCGAACAGG